GUGAAAAACUUGAAUUGGAUACACCUCAAAUUAAAUGAGAUCUUCUAUCAAAUUGCAAGAUAAUUCAACGCAAAUUAAUAUUUUGCGAGAGAAAAUUGAUCUCAAUCACAAUGAGAUUAUUUUGCGAGAAAAAAAAAUCUCAAUCGCAAAUCAAUAUUGGUAUGCGAGAAAACAUAAUCUUAAUCGCAAAACAAUGUCGUUGUACUAAUAGGACAUGUUAUAGGGAUUGCUAAAAAGCAAACAUAUUGAACAUGCCACAUAUAAUAACCACAUAUUUUUGUGCAAAUAUUGGCCUGGACCACUGAUUUAGCCUAUUUUGCAAAUUCCUGUAAAUACAGGGAUCUUAAUGCAAACUGGCAAAGAGAUAAGGUUAUCUCUGUGUUUCUCCCGUGCGGUUCCAAUGGGGAAAAAAACACCAUUACCAUCGCCGCCGCUUUGGCAUACCGGCCAGGGCUGCGUCACGCGCGCCUGAAGUCUGGCGCCAUGGGCAGGCAGCUUUGAGCCGCCGCGGCUGUCGUUCCUGAGGGCGCUUGGAGCAACCACGACGGAGGGAGACGCACAGGGAGAAACGGCGUCGGGGCCGGAAAGAGGCCGCGUGGGCUUGAAGCCGUCCCGAGGCCGAGUAUCUCACCGGGGCCGACGGCUGUGGGCGCACCGGGAGGAGUAGCGUCAAACGUCGGGCACGCUUCGGUCUGGGAGUCGCCUCCACUGUCGGGAAGUCCCGCCGGAGGACGCUGAUGCGCCGCGGUCCGGGCCGAGCGCCAUGGCUGGCUGCGUGCGUGCAGGAGGAUGCUGCCUCUGCUGCAGGGUGGGGAGCACCGUCGUCCCUGGCCGUGCGUGGCGGCAGAUCGCGCCUACGGCCGGAGGCGAGCACUCCGCCGUACAAGCCUGAGCGCAUAAGGCGCCGUGCACAUGGAGAUGGCCGGCCUCUCUCCAAGGAAGACACCGGACAACGUGGUCGCUGCGUUCAGCGCCGACGAUGGCCGGGAGCGGGUUCCCGGCCCUUGCCGAUGGGGAGGCCGAGAGCCUUUAGCCGCGAGGAGCCAUGACGGCAGGAGCGGCGUUGAGGCCGACGGCGUCCACCACGCCCGGGAGCGUUGCGGCCAUGGCCAUGCAUCACGGUCUCGCCGGCGUCUUUUAAGCGCAGGCGCCAUACACGCUAGGGUAUUUGAGGACUGGCCGAGGCCUGCCGAUCUGCGCCAGAUGCAGGACGAGGGCGGCGGCGUCUGCCGGGGAGCGUCGCUGCUGCUCUUCGAGACGUCGCCGGCCUCGGUCUUCCACCGUUCCGUGUCGCCCCAUGAGGCCGAUACUCGCUCUGUCGAGAGCGUGCUGAUAACGUGUUAGAGUAAAACGAGAUUGAAAGCGAAAGGACAAUCAAUCCUGGUUUCCAUUGAUUCUCAAGUAUAUAUACAUCUCGAAGAGGUGGGAAGAAGAGGUGUCUGUUCGAAGGCAUCCCUCUAGAACGGGUGCCUAUUGACAAUAGAAAGAGAGAAGGGACAUGACUGUUCGGGAUUGGACACAUCCCUUUACUAAUGACUAUUCAUUAAUUAGCAUGUGCUAAUUAAUCUACUAAUUAAUUCCUAACACGAAGAACUGAGGAAGGAAGCCGGCCGUGUGUACAACAAAGUGGACUGAUUGUGGGCUAUGGAUUAUUGGGCCUGCCGGCCUAUCUUUCGUCUGGCUAGGUUGAAACCUCCUGAUACCCAUGUUAAUAAAAAAAUCAAAUUUAAAUAGCCUAAAAUAUGUUAAUCAAAUUUAAAUGUUUUUAUUAUUUUCAAAAUUGUUUGUGAAUGUUCCCAAAAACAUGGUUCCACAAUCUCUCAAUUUCAGAUGCAAAUCAAACUACAGUUAUAGAAACAAAUGAAAAGAUAAAUUAUUCAAUUUUCUUUUAUUUGUUUCUAUAUGUGUAUUUCAAGUUUGUAUUUGAUACUUCUAGAACUUAUGGACACAUGUUUUCUGAACGCCCCUAAUUUUUUGAUUUUUUAAAUUUUUUUGCAAAGGUCACAACCUUUGGAAUGUUGGAUAUGCUGGGAGCACGGAUCGAAGUAUGGGCUCGGGAGCAGGCAAGUUGUGAACGUCUUUUUCUUUUUGAAACGGAGGCAUAAGAUUUUCCUCAUCCAUUAAUUAAGAAUGAGUUUAGAGUUUCUUUUACAAACAAAAGUGAAAGCAAAAUACAAGGUCACUACUCUCGCGGCAUUAUAUUUCCCAAGUGCUGACGCAAAGCCUAGCUUCAAUCUUGAUGUUGAGGAGGAUGAUGGAUGGAUGUGUGGAUUUAUGUUGAAACACCCUAGCAUAGUGAGGGACGCGAUCGCCUUCCGGUUUGCCAUAUUCUUCUCGGACAUAUUGAUCCACCAAUCCUUAAUGAAACGCUCCACACUCCAACGAGAAGUGCCCAUGUCGUCGAGGUUGAGCCACGCCAUGAUCAUGCCCCAAAGUCGCUUAGUGAACCAACACAUGAAGAAGAGGUGGUCCACCGAUUUCUCAGUUUGCUUACAAAGAGGGCAUAGGCCGCAAUUUGGCCAUCCACGUCUUUGAAGCCUAUCCGCCGUCCAAAUCCGUUUUUGAAUUGCUAACCAAGCGAAGAAGUCACGAAGGUCUUAUUCUAAUAUGUUCUUUUACAAAAAGGUUUUUGGAGCAACUUUUCAUUGAAAUGUAGGAGAAGUUGUGGCCAAAGAUGAAAAACACACACCCUCGGAUGUGCAACAACAGGUUGCAACAUCGUCACCCUACCGGUCUGGUUCUAAUAUGUCAAUGAAGGUCUCAGGGCUACAACAUAUUGAUCUCUUAUUAUAAAUAUUGCUUUUGGAUACACUUUAAGUGAUGGUGAUAAUAUUUAAUGAUUAUUAUUCUGAUUUUAUGUUGAAUGGUCCUCGAAUUAAUUUUCACCGAGGGCAAUACAACGGUGAACCUGGGUGCGCGCCCACCCAAAUUGAAAAAAGUUUAUAAAAUUAGUCAAAUAUUUUUAAAUUUUUUUUAUAACAUUCAUGGUUUAGCAUAAUGCUCACGUUUAAAGUUUUGGAACAAAAUGAGUUAUGCAUAUUCCAAGCAAAAUACAACAUAAUCAAUACUAUAUAAAAGCUACUAUUCCGGUUUUUUGCAUGGUAGCUGCAAACUUUUUUUCCGCUCAGAAUACGACAUGAUUCAUUUUGCCCAGAUACUAUAAACAUGAGUAUUAUACUAGACUAUGUUUGCCGCAAUUUUUUUUUCCAUUUUUUUAGUAUUUUAAA